AAACUUAAAUGAAUUGACGGGACCCGCACAAGCAGCGGAGCGUGUGGUUAAUUCGAUGCUACACGAAGAACCUUACCAGGGUUUGACAUGCAAGUGGUAGGAAACUGAAAGGGACCGACCCUUCGGGGAGCUUGCACAGGUGCUGCAUGGCUGUCGUCAGCUCGUGUCGUGAGAUGUUCGGUUAAGUCCGCUAACGAGCGCAACCCUCACUGUGUGUUAUACGUGUCACACGGGACUGCCGGUUUUAAGCCGGAGGAAGGUGGGAUGACGUCAAGUCAGCAUGGCCUUUAUAUCCUGGGCUACACACACGCUACAAUGGUCGGUACAAUAGGUUGCCAAGCCGCGAGGCGGAGCCAAUCCAUAAAGCCGGCCUCAGUUCAGAUUGUAGGCUGCAACUCGCCUGCAUGAAGAUGGAGUUGCUAGUAACCGCAGGUCAGCAAUACUGCGGUGAAUACGUUCCCGGGUCUU
rnacentral:rRNA from 1 species